UACGUAGGGCGCAAGCGUUGUCCGGAAUUAUUGGGCGUAAAGAGCUCGUAGGCGGUCUGUUACGUCCGCUGUGAAAACCCAGGGCUUAACCCUGGGCUUGCAGUGGAUACGGGUAGACUAGAGGCAGGUAGGGGAGAAUGGAAUUCCCGGUGUAGCGGUGAAAUGCGCAGAUAUCGGGAGGAACACCGGUGGCGAAGGCGGUUCUCUGGGCCUGACCUGGACGCUGAGGAGCGAAAGCGUGGGGAGCAAACGGG
rnacentral:rRNA from 1 species